GACUCAUUCAUCAAGUAUCAGAUAUCCGGAUUAUAUUUGUAGCACUGACAAAGGUUGAUAUUUUCAUACCUUGUUAAAUGAAUAGUAAGAUGAAUUAAAUGACCUUUGGACAAAGCAGGGUCUGCCGUACCGAGUCGUACCGCCCGGUACGGGCGGUACGUACCGGUCCGAUAGGUUUUCGGUACGCGGACCGACUGUUACCGGUCCGAGGCAUUGUAGCACUGUAGCAGUGCUACAGUACUCGGUACACCCAGGUGUACCGCUCGGUAUACCGUACCGUACCGGUACCGAGCCCAGGUCGAAAUAUCGGUACGGUAUGGUAUUGCAAACCUUGGGACAAAGUAAAAAACUAUUUCUCUUCCAGAUCUCCAGAGAGUCUAGAAACUAUGAAUAGUAAGAAGGGAUCAAUAAAAAUCACUUAGUCACUGAAUACAUCUUAACUAUCAAGCCCAAGAAAAUGAAUAACCGAACCAUAAGUACAACUGGAGAAGAUCCUCUCUAAUUUUGACUCCUUUCCCCAAAUUGCCAACUGUACCACC
rnacentral:lncRNA from 1 species